rnacentral:lncRNA from 1 species
AAAGCUAAAAUACAAGAAUUAAGCCAUUAGGAAAAGAGAACAGAGACAUGUUAAACCAAAAAGGUCUUUUUGGAUGCAUAAAUUGUUCUCCUGACUGCUACCAGACCUGCUAGAAAAACAGUCUAUUUCAUUCACAAGCAGAUCAUUAGGAAGAGCUGCUUUGCCUUACUUCUGGAUUUAAGGAAUAUCCUGUCUUAUGUGCUUCUGUUAUAAGCAACCCUUCUGUGGUUUAUCAGGAGAAGACACAAAUAAUUACAACUUAGGCAAAGUUAGAACAAAACCAGAGUCUUCCCACCAAUGA